UUGAAGCCCAGGCCUGAGGCACCUGAUCUCAAGGAUUGAGUUCUGGCCCCAUGGCCUCUCAGGUGUGACCCCUCUCACCUAGCGCUCAUGAGAAGCUGUGCUUAGGAUCACAGGCCCCAGACCCCUCCCUGCUGGCCUGGACCUCUGCCUCAAGCUCAGCGUGUUCUCAAAGCCUUGUAGCAACGAGGCUGCGGCUCUGUGCCAUGCCCCAUCUGAAUCCUAGGAUACCAGGGAAACUUGGUGUGUGGAUAAAGAACCUAACUCCUGAGACGUCAGGGAGAAGUGCCUAGCAGCAGCCAAUGGAAAGGGCACUUGUCUUCUGGCUGGAGGACCCGGGACUGGGCUGGGCUGGGCCCCCGGCCCAGGGCUCACGGCAGCCACAGAAAUGAGCCUCCCCCAUCUCUGCCCAGCCUGGCCUCCACACAGGCAUCCAAGCAUCACCUUGGACUUCCCAGUUGGCACUGGGCAAACCAACAUAGAGAACCAAGACAAGGAGCAACCUUAAAUCACGUUUCUGAUUUCCUUCAAGUGACUUCUGAAGCCAAACCACUUUGGGCCUUUGGGGCACUGGAACAUUUCUUCAUUGUCAUACUCAUACCCCUUGAUGUGUGUGUCCCUGGCAGUCUGUGAAGAGGGAGGCCAUGUAAUUCAACAAAGUGUGGACAAGCACAGGCCAGGCAUGCAGCAGGCACUAAAAAUGUUUAUUGCACUAACAGAUGACUACAGAUGGUGUAGGUUCUCACUUCCUGUUUCUAGGUAAUUCUCUGCCUCAUUUACUCUGAAGUCACAUAGGGCCAGGAUAGGAAGUGAGCUUGCUGUGAUGCUUGGGCACCAGCUGACACAUCAUCCUUUUCAUGAUUCUCUUUUUCCGAUGAAGGUUGGAAACUUUCAUUCUAGAAGGGUCCUCAGCUGAGGGAUUGUGACUUUAGGGGGUAGGGAGGCCACUUGGGAAGCCAGAAUUCACUGUGGAUUAAUUGCUUAUCAAUUUCUGGGUUAGAUUUUUCAGUUCUGAGGGGUUCAUGAGAGCAACCUAAGAAUCGGUCCUGCUGAGGUCCAGGAGACAGUGCCGGGCCUGGUUGUGGCAGGAAGCUCCAGGAGAGGAAAGUGGACAGGCUGCUGAUACAGUCUUGCAUUGCAGCAGUGCUUGCCCUUUGUGGGUGGCACAAGUCCUGAAGCCAGCACGUAUUUCUGUGGCUCUGGGACAAGGGGGACAGACUUUCCCCCAGCCAUAGGAUGGCGUGGUCUCAACAAGUAUCAAUAGUUCCAAAGUACCAAAGAUUGGCUCUCAGUAGUUUGCCAAACACAAAGGCUUCACAGCAGCCCUAGGAAGCUGGCAGGUGGGAGCUGCUGUUCCCAUUUAAUUGACAAGGACAUUCUGUCCAAGAUCCUUCCCUGGUGGCUGCUUUACCAACCUUUAUGCUGCCCCUCAUCUUGAAAGUGGGAGAAGACAUGACUGAAAGGGCGGGCUGCAGUACAAAGGACAUAGGUGCAUGGCUGGGAGAUGGGACGCUCUGGCUCUGACGUCCUGCUCCCAAAUCUGGUCAGCCAGGAGUCCUACAUUCUGGCCCUUUCUGUAGCACUGGGACAAGAAAGCAGCAUUUUCUUGGCAGCCCCAGCUUCCAAGGUAGCUGCUGUCCACCCCCAGUUGACUUUCUAAAGAGCCACAGAGCCACUUAGGUGGAAGAAAGAAAGCUGGGAAGGAAGGAGAAAAGGAAGGGAGAAAGAAAGGAAGAGAGAAGGAAUAGAAAAAA
ensembl:lncRNA